rnacentral:rRNA from 1 species
UCAUUUUUCAAUUUCCAAAGGGAGGAAAAAGGAACCAACCGGGAUUGCCUUAGUAACGGGGAGUGGAGCGGGCAAAGCUCAAAUUUGAAAUUUAGUACCUUCGGUGCUCGAGUUGUAAUUUGUAGAGGGAUACUUUGGGGCCGUUCCUUUGUUAUGUUCCUUGGAACAGGACGUCAUAGAGGGUGAGAAUCCCGUGUGGCGAGGAGUGCGGUUUUAUGUAAAGUGCCUUCGAAGAGUCGAGUUGUUUGGGAAUGCAGCUUUAAGUGGGUGGUAAAUUCCAUCUAAAGCUAAAUAUUGGCGAGAGACCGAUAGCGAACCAGUACAGUGAUGGAAAGAUGAAAAGAACUUUGAAAAGAGAGUGAAAAAGUACGUGAAAUUGUUGAAAGGGAAGGGCAUUUGAUCAGACAUGGUGUUUUGCGCCCUCUGCUCCUUGUGGGGGGGGGACUCUCUCACCUCACUGGGCCAACAUCACUUUUGGUGGUCGGACAAAUCCGUAGGAAUGUAGCUUACCUCGGUAAUAGUUAUAGCCUCGGGAAUGAGUCCAGCCGGCCGGAGGACUGCGACUGCGUAAAUGUUGUCGAAUUG